rnacentral:rRNA from 1 species
UACGGAAGGGGCAAGCGUUGUUCGGAAUCAUUGGGCGUAAAGGGCGCGUAGGUGGUUCUGUAUGUCUACCGUGAAAGCAUACAGCUCAACUGUAUUUUGUCGGUAGGAACUGCAGGACUUGAGGCUGGGAGGGGCUGGUGGAAUUCCCUGUGUAGCGGUGAAAUGCGUAGAGAUGGGGGAGAACACUCGUGGCGAAGGCGGCCAGCUAGACCAGUUCUGACACUGAGGCGCGACAGCGUGGGGAGCAAACAGG